GUGCCAGCAGCCGCGGUAAUACGUAGGGUCCGAGCGUUGUCCGGAUUUAUUGGGCGUAAAGAGCUCGUAGGCGGCUCAGUAAGUCGGAUGUGAAAACUCGGGGCUCAACCCCGAGACGCCAUCCGAUACUGCUGUGGCUCGAAUCUGGUAGGGGAGCACGGAAUUCCUGGUGUAGCGGUGAAAUGCGCAGAUAUCAGGAGGAACACCGGCGGCGAAGGCGGUGCUCUGGGCCAGUAUUGACGCUGAGGAGCGAAAGCGUGGGUAGCAAACAGGAUUAGAUACCCUGGUAGUCC
rnacentral:rRNA from 1 species